rnacentral:rRNA from 1 species
CCUACGGGAGGCAGCAGUGGGGAAUAUUGCACAAUGGGGGAAACCCUGAUGCAGCGACGCCGCGUGAGUGAAGAAGUAAUUCGUUAUGUAAAGCUCUAUCAGCAGGGAAGAAAAUGACGGUACCUGAGUAUGAAGCCCAGGCUAAUUACGUGCCAGCAGCCGCGGUACUACGUAGGGUGCAAGCGUUAUACGGAUUUACUGGGUGUAAAGGGGGCGUAGACGGCGGUGCAAGUGUGGAGUGAAAGGCCGGGGCUCAACCCCCGGACUGCUCUGGAAACUGUACGGCUGGAGUGCAGGAGAGGUAAGUGGAAUUCCUGGUGUAGCGGUGAAAUGCGUAGAUAUUAGGAGGAACACCAGUGGCGAAGGCGGCUUACUGGACUGUAACUGACGUUGAGGCUCGAAAGCGUGGGGAGCAAACAGGAUUAGAUACCCCAGUAGUC